GGACCAGGAAAGCCGUUGAACGGCACAUGAGAAAUUUCUACUGGGCGCAUCCUGCAGAUGUACAGCCGUAACAACAAGUUUAUUCUCAGCUGAGAGAGCCAAUCCACUGCACUACAAGCUUUGAAUGAUUUGCUGCCACAUGUAAAGCUCCUUAAUUUUCCAUGAUCGAUUUGACACCUGCUCUACCCUUGACCGUUGAUUAAGCCGAUGAAGCUCUGCGAAUCUAAUUGGAUAGGCCCGUAUCCAUGGCGGGAGACCUCUUUCCAGAUCAGCUAUAGCCUCGAGAAAUUCUAAUUGCUUUCAGCAGCGUCCCUGUCAGCACCACUGGAUUUAGAUUAGUAUUCAAGACAAGUUUAUCUAGAACUUCUGACAUUGCGCGUUCGAGAAAAUUAUUGUAUGGACGUACAUCAAUUUAUUGACAAAUAUUGGGUUUGGAAAACAUCAUUUUCACUUGCGUUGUUGUCUAUCCAAUCAAAAGAAGCAAAUUCGUUUAUUAUUACGUAAACGGCCGGUGGAAUGUUCUUCAAAGUUGAGAAGAUCGAGAUGAAUUGUCAUGAGCUAUAUAACUAAUGCAAGCUGGAAGGCUAAUGGGCUACCGGCCAACUGGU
rnacentral:lncRNA from 1 species